AAAAGAUCUAUUCUAACUUUUUUUAAACUGGAACACGCUAAGCCUGAAAAGUCCCUUACUGCAUAGGCAAGAUCCAAGAGGCUGCUUGUCAUCUGAAACCGGAAAAUGGACAGCAUGUUCACAGGGAGCCUGUGAGAUGUCAUUGGAGAAAAGCACUUGCCAUACAAGCCCAAUGUCCUGAAUUUGAUCGCCAGAACUUGGAACCCAUGAUUAAAGGAGAAAACCAACUCCUGCAAGUUGUCCUCUGACUGCCACACCUCACAAUAAUAAUAAAUAAAAAUGUACUCUUAAAAUU